rnacentral:piRNA from 1 species
UAGAGGAACUGGAUCCAGGACUUUUCUGCCU